CGGCCAGGGUUCCGAAAUUUACCCCUCCACUAAAAGGGACUAGUCCCUGCGGGUUUAAAACAAAAUUGGCCCUUGUGCCAAACAGCCGCGGGAAUUCCCAGCUCCAAUAGGGGUAUAUAAAAGUUGUUGCCGUUAAAAAGCUCGUAGUCGAACUUCGGCGCCUGAUGGCCGGUUCCGCUUUCUUGGUGUGGACUUGUUCAUCGGGCGCUUACCUCCUGGUGAACUCUGAUGUCCUUUACUGGGUGUCAGAGCAAACCAGGACGUUUACUUUGAAAAAAUUAGAGUGUUCAAAGCAGGCCUACGCCCGAAUACAUUAGCAUGGAAUAAUAGAAUAGGACGCGCGUUCCCAUUUUGUUGGUUUCUGAGAUCGCCGUAAUGAUUAAUAGGGAUAGUUGGGGGCAUUUGUAUUCCGUCGUCAGAGGUGAAAUUCUUGGAUUGCCGGAAGACAAACUACUGCGAAAGCAUUUGCCAAGGAUGUUUUCAUUGAUCAAGAACGAAGGAAGGGGGAUCGAAAACGAUCAGAUACCGUUGUAGUCUCUUCUGUAAACUAUGCCAAUUGGGGAUUAGCACAGGAUUUUCAAUGACUGUGUUAGCACCCGAAGAGAAAUCUUUAAAUGAGGUUCGGGGGGGAGUAUGGUCGCAAGGCUGAAACUUAAAGGAAUUGACGGAAGGGCACCACCAGGUGUGGAGCCUGCGGCUUAAUUUGACUCAACACGGGGAAACUCACCAGGUCCAGACACAAUAAGGAUUGACAGAUUGAUAGCUCUUUCUUGAUCUUGUGGUUGGUGGUGCAUGGCCGUUCUUAGUUGGUGGAGUGAUUUGUCUGGUUAAUUCCGAUAACGAACGAGACCCUUAACCUGCUAAAUAGACCAGUCGACUUUGGUUGACUGCUUGUCUUCUUAGAGGGACUAUCAGCGUUUAGCUGAAGGCAGUUUGAGGGCAUAACAGGUCUGUGAUGCCCCAAGGCCAAAUUCGCGGCCGCCAAAUUUUAAUUCCCCCUUAUAGUGAAGUCGUAAUACAAUUUCC
rnacentral:rRNA from 1 species